AGCAGGAUGAUUAAGGGAAUAAGAAUUUGAUUGCAUUAUGCUAUGAGAAAAGUCAGCAUCACUGCCAGAGUUCUUGACCGAAUGCUGUUCCCUAGGGUGGUAGACAGAAGAGGAAAAUCAGGGCCUCUGGAGAAGAAGAACUGAUUGAUUUACAUUCAUCACCUGGCUCCUGCUCCAAAUGCAGAUCUUAUUGAGAAUCUAAGUCUGAGAAAAACAUCUUAGAAAGAGAAGAGCAGUGAAGGAGCUAGCC
rnacentral:lncRNA from 1 species